rnacentral:rRNA from 1 species
GAUGAACGCUGGCGGCGUGCCUAAUACAUGCAAGUCGAGCGAACAGACGAGGAGCUUGCUCCUCUGACGUUAGCGGCGGACGGGUGAGUAACACGUGGAUAACCUACCUAUAAGACUGGGAUAACUUCGGGAAACCGGAGCUAAUACCGGAUAAUAUAUUGAACCGCAUGGUUCAAUAGUGAAAGACGGUUUUGCUGUCACUUAUAGAUGGAUCCGCGCCGCAUUAGCUAGUUGGUAAGGUAACGGCUUACCAAGGCAACGAUGCGUAGCCGACCUGAGAGGGUGAUCGGCCACACUGGAACUGAGACACGGUCCAGACACCUACGGGAGGCAGCAGUAGGGAAUCUUGCGCAAUGGGCGAAAGCUUGACGGAGCAACGCCGCGUGAGUGAUGAAGGUCUUCGGAUCGUAAAACUCUGUUAUUAGGGAAGAACAAAUGUGUAAGUAACUAUGCACGUCUUGACGGUACCUAAUCAGAAAGCCACGGCUAACUACGUG